ensembl:snRNA
GUGUUGUAUGAAAGGAGAGAAAGUUAAAACUCCCUUUGACAAAAC